rnacentral:rRNA from 1 species
AUGAACAGCAUAGGGAAGCUACUGGCGAGCAGCAACAGCAAGAGCAUGGCGAACAGGGACAGUAAGCAGCAGCAGUCUACAAACAAAUCGAUCCAAAUAGAUGAAAAAGGGUGUGGUUACCUGCUCCAGCUUGCUUGGCGUUGGGAGAAGAGGCUGCGGCACUUGGGGACGGUGGCGGUCGAGUCUAGGCAGCAGCGACAACCCCAUACGACAGCGGCGGCGGUGACAGCAGCGAGCGACGACGACAUCCAGAUCGAAGGGGGCGAGGCUGAGCCCCCUCGUCCGCGGCCCCGUCCUGGCCGGCUGCGCGUCGUGGCCCCGGAAGACGCGCAGGCGGAGGAAGCGGGAGGAGAGGCGCAGGAUCUCGGGCUGGAUGCGCGCGAUCUCGACGUCGGCGUCGUCCUCCCUUGA